rnacentral:rRNA from 1 species
UACGUAGGGGCCAAGCGUUGUCCGGAUUUAUUGGGCGUAAAGAGCUCGUAGGUGGUUCGGCAAGUCAGUUGUGAAAUCUCCGCGCUCAACGCGGAGGGGUCAGCUGAAACUGCUGUGACUUGAGUCUGGUAGGGGAGUGUGGAAUUCCCGGUGUAGCGGUGAAAUGCGUAGAGAUCGGGAGGAACACCCGUGGCGAAGGCGGCCAUCUGGACCAGCACUGACGCUGAGGCACGGAAAGCGUGGGGAGCAAACAGG